rnacentral:rRNA from 1 species
GUGAAGCGGGAAAAGCUCAAAUUUAAAAUCUGGUGGUCUUUGGCCAUCCGAGUUGUAAUUUAGAGAAGCGUUUUCCGCGCUGGACCGUGCACAAGUCUCCUGGAAUGGAGCGUCAUAGAGGGUGAGAAUCCCGUCUUUGGCACGGACAUGCCAGGGCUUUUGUGAUGCGCUCUCGAAGAGUCGAGUUGUUUGGGAAUGCAGCUCAAAAUGGGUGGUGAACUCCAUCUAAAGCUAAAUAUUGGCGAGAGACCGAUAGCGAACAAGUACCGUGAGGGAAAGAUGAAAAGCACUUUGGAAAGAGAGUGAAACAGUACGUGAAAUUGUUGAAAGGGAAACGCUUGAAGUCAGUCACGUCGACCGAGACUCAGCCUCGCCUCGGCUUGGUGUACUUCUCGGCUGACGGGUCAGCAUCAAUUUUGCCCCUUGGAUAAUGGUGAGGGAAAUGUGACACCUUUACGGUGUGUUAUAGUCUCUUGUCGCAUGCAAGGGUCGGGAUUGAGGAACUCAGCACGCGCCUUUGGGUGUCGGGGCCUUUUGCCCACGAUACGUGCUUAGGAUGUUGGCAUAAUGGCUUUA